UACGUAGGGUGCAAGCGUUAAUCGGAAUUACUGGGCGUAAAGCGUGCGCAGGCGGUUCUAUAAGACAGAUGUGAAAUCCCCGGGCUCAACCUGGGAACUGCAUUUGUGACUGUAGAGCUGGAGUACGGCAGAGGGGGAUGGAAUUCCGCGUGUAGCAGUGAAAUGCGUAGAUAUGCGGAGGAACACCGAUGGCGAAGGCAAUCCCCUGGGCCUGUAUUGACGCUCAUGCACGAAAGCGUGGGGAGCAAACAGG
rnacentral:rRNA from 1 species